CGCGGCGUUGCGGCUGCUAACACAUGCAAGUCGAGCGGAAACGAGUUAUCUGAACCUUCGGGGAACGAUAACGGCGUCGAGCGGCGGACGGGUGAGUAAUGCCUAGGAAAUUGCCUUGAUGUGGGGGAUAACCAUUGGAAACGAUGGCUAAUACCGCAUGAUGCCUACGGGCCAAAGAGGGGGACCUUCGGGCCUCUCGCGUCAAGAUAUGCCUAGGUGGGAUUAGCUAGUUGGUGAGGUAAUGGCUCACCAAGGCGACGAUCCCUAGCUGGUCUGAGAGGAUGAUCAGCCACACUGGAACUGAGACACGGUCCAGACUCCUACGGGAGGCAGCAGUGGGGAAUAUUGCACAAUGGGCGCAAGCCUGAUGCAGCCAUGCCGCGUGUAUGAAGAAGGCCUUCGGGUUGUAAAGUACUUUCAGCAGUGAGGAAGGGGGUGUCGUUAAUAGCGGCAUCUCUUGACGUUAGCUGCAGAAGAAGCACCGGCUAACUCCGUGCCAGCAGCCGCGGUAAUACGGAGGGUGCGAGCGUUAAUCGGAAUUACUGGGCGUAAAGCGCAUGCAGGUGGUUUGUUAAGUCAGAUGUGAAAGCCCGGGGCUCAACCUCGGAACUGCAUUUGAAACUGGCAAACUAGAGUACUGUAGAGGGGGGUAGAAUUUCAGGUGUAGCGGUGAAAUGCGUAGAGAUCUGAAGGAAUACCAGUGGCGAAGGCGGCCCCCUGGACAGAUACUGACACUCAGAUGCGAAAGCGUGGGGAGCAAACAGGAUUAGAUACCCUGGUAGUCCACGCCGUAAACGAUGUCUACUUGGAGGUUGUGGCCUUGAGCCGUGGCUUUCGGAGCUAACGCGUUAAGUAGACCGCCUGGGGAGUACGGUCGCAAGAUUAAAACUCAAAUGAAUUGACGGGGGCCCGCACAAGCGGUGGAGCAUGUGGUUUAAUUCGAUGCAACGCGAAGAACCUUACCUACUCUUGACAUCCAGAGAACUUUCCAGAGAUGGAUU
rnacentral:rRNA from 1 species